AAUCUAUUAGUUGUGUUUGAAGAAGUGGGUGGUGAUCCUACUGGAAUUUCUUUGGCAAAGAGAGUUGUGGAAAGCGUUUGUGCUGAUAUAUAUGAUGACCAGCCGGAAAUGCUAAACUGGAAAGAGAUGGUCCCUGUUAAACCCAAAGCUCAUCUGUGGUGUCCCACAGGACAGACCAUGACUAACAUUACCUUUGCUAGUUAUGGAGGGCCUCUAGGGAGAUGUGGAUCUUACCAGCAGGGGAAGUGUCAUUCCCAGAAGUCAUGGGAUCCUUUCCAAGCCAACUGUAUUGGGAAGCCGUCAUGUGACAUAGUUGUAGCUCCUGAAACUUUUGGUGGGGAUCCAUGUCCAGGAAGUACAAAGAAGCUUUCAGUUCAAGUUGUGUGCAGCUGAAAUCCUGAAAAUUCAUAUUGAAUCAAGGCAUCCAAGAAUUCCAAGGUCAUUGAUUUCUCUAAAAAAUGUGAAAAGGACAGAAACACAAAUGUGGAUUCUGAAGUGGUUGUAAUAAAAAAGAUUUAUGAAACAACAGAAAUUGUUCUCUCUCUCUCUCUCCCUGUGAUAGUGAAGGUGAAACCAAUUCAUUCAGAAGCUCUUGUCUUGAACCAUGCAUGACCUUAGUUCCAAAAAUAAGAAAAAAGAAGUUUAUACAACUGUUAAUUUGAUGACUUCAUUUUGAAAUUAAAACAUCAAA
rnacentral:misc_RNA from 1 species